UACGGAGGGAGCUAGCGUUGUUCGGAAUUACUGGGCGUAAAGCGCGCGUAGGCGGCUUCGUAAGUUAGAGGUGAAAGCCCGGGGCUCAACUCCGGAACUGCCUUUAAGACUGCAUCGCUUGAAUCCGGGAGAGGUGAGUGGAAUUCCGAGUGUAGAGGUGAAAUUCGUAGAUAUUGGGAAGAACACCAGUGGCGAAGGCGGCUCACUGGCUCGUAUCUGACGCUCAGGCGCGAUAGCGUGGGGAUCAAACAGG
rnacentral:rRNA from 1 species